rnacentral:rRNA from 1 species
UACGUAGGGGGCAAGCGUUGUCCGGAUUUAUUGGGCGUAAAGAGCGUGUAGGCGGCCAUGUAGGUCCGUUGUGAAAACUCGAGGCUCAACCUCGAGACGCCGAUGGAAACCAUGUGGCUAGAGUCCGGAAGAGGAGAGUGGAAUUCCUGGUGUAGCGGUGAAAUGCGCAGAUAUCAGGAGGAACACCUAUUGCGAAGGCAGCUCGCUGGGACGUAACUGACGCUGAGACGCGAAAGCGUGGGGAGCAAACAGG